rnacentral:rRNA from 1 species
GUCCACGCCGUAAACGAUGUGUGCUAGACGUUGGGGAGCCUAGCUCUUCGGUGUCGCAGCUAACGCUUUAAGCACACCGCCUGGGGAGUACGGCCGCAAGGUUAAAACUCAAAGGAAUUGACGGGGCCCGCACAAGCGGUGGAGCAUGUGGUUUAAUUCGACGCAACGCGAAGAACCUUACCAGCCCCUUGACAUGUCCCGUACGGUCCGGAGAGAUCCGGUCCAUCAGUUCGGCUGGCGGGAACACAGGUGCUGCAUGGCUGUCGU